UACGAGGGGUGCAAGCGUUGCUCGGAAUUAUUGGGCGUAAAGGGCAGGUAGGUGGUCUCAUUUGUCAGGGGUGAAAGCCUUGGGCUUAACCCAAGAAGUGCCUUUGAAACGGUGAGACUGGAGUCUUGGAGAGGGUCGUGGAAUUCCCAGUGUAGCGGUGAAAUGCGUAGAGAUUGGGAGGAACACCAGCGGCGAAGGCGGCUCACUGGUCCGGUACUGACGCUGAGGUGCGAAAGCGUGGGGAGCAAACAGG
rnacentral:rRNA from 1 species